AAGGUCAUUAACCAAAGGUUUAACGGCGGAGGGUACAUCCGGAGAAGGGCCCAAUUCACAAUGAGGGGGAGCCGGAGGCCAGUGUGGGCAAUCACUGCCAGUAAGCGCCCCGUAAACCUCCACCCUUGUGUAUUAUUCUUCUGUUGCUUUGGCAGGCCGCGACCCUCUGGGGGGAGCGCUGGGCUUCGGCUGGAGAGUGCCUGCCAGAGGACCAAACUCUGUAAUUUAAUGCCGUCUGAGUACUACGAAAAAUAGUUAAAA
rnacentral:misc_RNA from 1 species